UCUCCUGGAAACGGGUGGUAAUGCCGGAUGUUCCAGUUGAUCGCAUGGUCUUCUGGGAAAGCUUUCGCGGUAUGGGAUGGGGUCGCGUCCUAUCAGCUUGACGGCGGGGUAACGGCCCACCGUGGCUUCGACGGGUAGCCGGCCUGAGAGGGCGACCGGCCACAUUGGGACUGAGAUACGGCCCAGACUCCUACGGGAGGCAGCAGUGGGGAAUAUUGCACAAUGGGCGCAAGCCUGAUGCAGCGACGCCGCGUGAGGGAUGGAGGCCUUCGGGUUGUAAACCUCUUUUAUCGGGGAGCAAGCGUGAGUGAGUUUACCCGUUGAAUAAGCACCGGCUAACUACGUGCCAGCAGCCGCGGUAAUACGUAGGGUGCAAGCGUUAUCCGGAAUUAUUGGGCGUAAAGGGCUCGUAGGCGGUUCGUCGCGUCCGGUGUGAAAGUCCAUCGCUUAACGGUGGAUCCGCGCCGGGUACGGGCGGGCUUGAGUGCGGUAGGGGAGACUGGAAUUCCCGGUGUAACGGUGGAAUGUGUAGAUAU
rnacentral:rRNA from 1 species